GCGGGCGCCCCCGUGGUGCAUUGCUGUUGCAUUGCAUGUGUGUGAGGCGGGUGCAGUGCCUCGGCAGUGCAGCCCGGGGCCGGCCCCUGGCACCG
ensembl:miRNA